UACGUAGGGGGCAAGCGUUGUCCGGAAUUAUUGGGCGUAAAGAGCGUGUAGGCGGUCCGGUAAGUCAGCUGUGAAAGUCAAGGGCUCAACCCUUGAAUGCCGGUUGAUACUGUCGGGCUAGAGUCCGGAAGAGGCGAGUGGAAUUCCCGGUGUAGCGGUGAAAUGCGCAGAUAUCAGGAGGAACACCGAUGGCGAAGGCAGAUCUCUGGGCCGUAACUGACGCUGAGGAGCGAAAGCAUGGGGAGCGAACAGG
rnacentral:rRNA from 1 species